AAAAAUUCUUAGCAAAUUUGGGUGGGCGGCCUCCAGUAAUUCCUAAAGCAUCAUGCAUGACAAGUAUUUGGCCAUCAGUAUGCUUUCCGGCUCCUAUCCCGAUAGUGGGUAUGGAUAUAGUUUUAGUGAUUUGUUCAGCUAGUGACUCUGGAAUACAUUCUAAGACGAGCAGCUGCGCACCAAACUUUUCCAACUGUUGUGCAUUUUCAAUUAAGCGUGCUGCUGCAGACUGUUCCCUACCCUGUAUUUUAUAACCUCCAAAAAUGUUUACAGACUGAGGAGUCAGGCCAAGGUGUCCAGCAACAGGGACUGAUCGUUCUGUAAGUCUUUGUACAAUUUCAAAAAUCCAAUUCCCUCCUCCUUCUAUUUUAACUAUAUUUGCACCUGCACGCAUUACAGUAGCCGCAUUUUUACAAGCAUCCUCCCAUGUACUGUAACUCAUAAAUGGAAGGUCAGCCAUCAAGAGGCGAUUAGGGGCACCUCUUCGAACACUUUUUGUAUGAUAUGCUAUGUCUUCUACUGACACUGGUAAUGUAGUACUAUGACCUUGAGCAGUCAUUCCAAGGGAGUCACCGACGAGCAUUACAGGCAUCCCCUGUUCUGCGAAAAGUCGUGAAAAACUGGCAUCAUAUGCUGUAAUACAAGCGAAUUUUUUAUUUGCUAGUUUCCAUUGACGAAGAGUGGAUAUAGUUAUUUGCUUUAAUGACAUUUUUUGUUAUUCCUUUUCAUAAGGUGGUACGUCUGUAAAACAAGUCUAGCACAAUUCAACCCAGAUAUUUUCUAAUAUGUUAAAAACAAGUAAUGCAUAUUAAAAAAUGGACUCUUUACUUUAAAAAUAAUAAUACUUAUAAGAGAAAUUCUUGCUUAGGAAACCUCUUGCUCACAUACUUUGAAUAUGUCUAUGAAAAAGUAAAAAUCACUGUGAUCCUCCAGUUAAAGCAUUUAACAUACAUGGUUACUCUGGUUUAUUUACAUACGAUUCAUAUAACCUACAAAGAAUUACAACCUUUGAAAUUCGUUUGUCCAAUUGCAACGGAUUUUUAUUCGCAAACUAAAAUAGCUACCUGUUUAAAAACAACUAUUUUAAUAUUUGAAUAGAUAUCCCAUUUGAUAGUGGUCGUUCCUAAAACAAAGUCAUUAUUUUCGCAAAUUUUUUAAGAUAUCAAUGUUUAGUAACACAAGCAACUUAUUUUACUGCUCUCUUGUUACUCAUAUUCAUGUCGAAUGUAUAACAUUUUUAAGUACAAAAAUCAUUGAAAUUGCUAAUUUUCCGUUUGUAUACCAAAAAACGGCUUGAAACAACUUUGGAGUAUUUUCGCAUCAAUCCACUUUGCAAUAAUCCCUCUAUUUGAAUUGUGCUAGUGUGUUUCAUAGUCAUACAGAAAUAUGUUGAUCAGCUUCAUGUCUGUAAACUCAUUAUUUGAAUUCUUAUGAUGAAUCGUCAGUUGGUAAACACAACUGCGAAAUACCGAUAUUGGAGAUCAUUGACAAAAGGCUAAGCUGACAAGUAUCUGUAAAUGAAAAAAUUUAGGCGCAUUCUCGAUUUUUCUGUAUUCCUUCAAGGUCAAUCAAUCCAAUUGUUUUAAUCAUUUCCCAAUCUCACUCCUGCGAAUAAUAUAGUAGUGCUAUUGGUGCGGCUGCAUGCCUAUUGAUUGAUCCACGCACGUGGUAACUCUGCUACAGGGCUACAAGUCCGUUCAUCUAUUUCAAUUCCUCCUAAACUUCAUACACAAAAAGAUUUAUAAGAU